rnacentral:rRNA from 1 species
GUGAUCCGGUGGUUCUGAAUGGAAGGGCCAUCGCUCAACGGAUAAAAGGUACUCCGGGGAUAACAGGCUGAUACCGCCCAAGAGUUCAUAUCGACGGCGGUGUUUGGCACCUCGAUGUCGGCUCAUCACAUCCUGGGGCUGAAGUAGGUCCCAAGGGUAUGGCUGUUCGCCAUUUAAAGUGGUACGCGAGCUGGGUUUAGAACGUCGUGAGACAGUUCGGUCCCUAUCUGCCGUGGGCGUGGAGAAUUGAGGGGGGGCUGCUCCUAGUACGAGAGGACCGGAGUGGACGCAUCACUGGUGUUCGGG